rnacentral:rRNA from 1 species
GACAGAGGGUGCAAACGUUGUUCGGAAUUACUGGGCGUAAAGCGCGUGUAGGCGGCUCGGAAAGUCGGAUGUGAAAGCCCUGGGCUUAACCUAGGAAGUGCAUUCGAAACUCCCGAGCUUGAGUUCUGGGGAGGAAGGCGGAAUUCUUGGUGUAGAGGUGAAAUUCGUAGAUAUCGAGAGGAACACCGGUGGCGAAGGCGGCCUUCUGGACAGUGACUGACGCUGAGACGCGAAAGCGUGGGGAGCAAACAGG